AGUGAACGCUGGCGGUAGGCCUAACACAUGCAAGUCGAACGGCAGCACAGUAAGAGCUUGCUCUUACGGGUGGCGAGUGGCGGACGGGUGAGGAAUACAUCGGAAUCUACUUUUUCGUGGGGGAUAACGUAGGGAAACUUACGCUAAUACCGCAUACGACCUACGGGUGAAAGCAGGGGAUCUUCGGACCUUGCGCGAUUGAAUGAGCCGAUGUCGGAUUAGCUAGUUGGCGGGGUAAAGGCCCACCAAGGCGACGAUCCGUAGCUGGUCUGAGAGGAUGAUAAGCCACACUGGAACUGAGACACGGUCCAGACUCCUACGGGAGGCAGCAGUGGGGAAUAUUGGACAAUGGGCGCAAGCCUGAUCCAGACAUACCGCGUGGGUGAAGAAGGCCUUCGGGUUGUAAAGCCCUUUUGUUGGGAAAGAAAAGCAGCAGGUUAAUACCCCGCUGUUCUGACGGUGCCCAAAGAAUAAGCACCGGCUAACUUCGUG
rnacentral:rRNA from 1 species